UCUAUCGCCACUUCGUCUCUCUCGUGCUUAAACUUAUUUUACAGUUAUAUUGUUAUUAGAUAAAAAUAUUCUACAAACAAUCAAACUUUUUUUUCUCAAUGAGUAAGGAUGAGUGGAUGACGUCCCAUUAGCAAGCCAUUGGUGGCAUGAAGAAUUUUCCCUUAUAUGAAGAUGAUUAUGUUUUCGUUUGCAUGAUUUGAAAGAAAACUAAGGUUUGCUAAUUCAACGAACUUGAUGGAAAAUUUCUAAAAAGCAGAAGCGUUAGGUGUUGGAGGAGGAAACUAAUUCUGGUCAGGUGUAAAUGUAUUCUUCGGGAAAAAAUGACUGAUCAUAACUGUCCAGAAGUAUAUGAGAAGAUGGAAGUCUACAAGAAGAA